UUAAAACCUUUGCCAACAACAAUCAUGCACACUCUUAUGUGACAAAGGGAGCAAUAUUUGAAAUUUUAAUUAUAAUUGGGGCAAUUGCCUGUAAAUUCUUAACGUUUUCUAAGAAUUGGUGUUUGAUCCUAAUUUGAAAAACCGACUUCUAGAUUUAUAACCUUUGGUUUAUGUCUCAAAUUUGUCGGAUGACCGGUUUUUUCUUACAUUGGCGCCGAAAAUGACAUGGUGGCAAAUUUAUGACAUGUGAAAAAAGAAAAAAAACCCCACAACAUCAUCCCCAACCUCCCC
rnacentral:lncRNA from 1 species